CAUUUCUCGAUCACAUAAUAGGAAAACUAACGGCUUUAAUUAAGAUUUAUGAAGCAUAGAGGUAAUAUAUUCUGCUAAAUUAGGUAGCCGUUGGUGGGUAGUAUGCAGUUAGAGAUGAAUUUUCUACAUAUACUUCACUUCCUCGAGCAGUUUUGGUUUAGAAUUGUAAUUUGUAAUGCCGGAAUCCCUAUAUCCAUUAGUAGACAAAACUAAGCAUCAUUUUCUUUUUUAAACUUUGAAUUAAUAGCAUUAAUUUAACGAGGGGCACAUACUACUAAACAUUUCUUUAACCAUUGAUUUCAGGUGGUAGUCAUGUGAGUCUGUAUUGUGUGAAAGAAUGGAAAUCCACCAUUUCAUCCAAAUAACUGGAUAAUUUGAAAGCAAGUGCUUGGAAACUGUUGGUUGUACUUAAAUCAAUUGAUUCAUUUAAAAUAAACAGUUUCGGCUAAAUCAAACUAUUCUGACCUCCCCAGACAUCCUCUUCCCCAUUAACUUUGGAAUAUAAAUCUAGAUUUUCUUCCUCUUUUUUUUGGUAAAAGUUCGAUCCAGCUUUUAAGGCCAGGCUGUGUUAGGUUUAUUUGUGUGCACACCAGGCCUGCUGUGCUGCCUGGUUCUUCAAUAUGGUAGUGAGAUUAUGAGAGUAUCAACUUUGAUUUGCAGGAUAAGCUUUGUUAUGAACGUUGACUGUGGGAAGUGCUUGCAGAUGGACCGGUGGGAGCUGUACCACUUACCCCGACCUAUUUCCCCAUGCAGAGGUGGGUCAGGCUUGAGAUGGGCUGAUGGAAGUUCCUUUCCUGCCAGUGUCCUUUAGGGCAGUGGUUGUCAAAUUUUUGUCUGCAUCAGAAUCACCUGAAGAGCAUCAUAGGCCACAGAGUGCUGGGUCCACCCCUGGAGUUUGUAAUUCUGCAGGUCUCAGGUGGGGCCUAAGGAUCUGAGUUCCCAGCAAGUGAUGCUGAUUCAGGGAUUUUAUUUUGAGGGCUGCUGCUUUGGGGGAGAGAAAUGGAAGUUAAAAUGAGAAAGAGAGGACGGCAGGUGAAGGAGGAAGAGGAGGAGGAGGAAGAAGAAGAAGAAGAGGAGGAAGAAGAGGAGACAGUGGAGG
rnacentral:lncRNA from 1 species